rnacentral:lncRNA from 1 species
UUCCUUCUCUUGUUUUCUUUUACAGAGAAUCUGAACUACUAGCAAGUUAUAAACAUAAUGUAUCUGAUGUUUGUGACAAAAGAAAGUCCCUACAACCUGGGUCCUUGUUUAUUACAACACUGUCUUAAAGAAAACAGAAAGUGCCAAGGAUCUGUUGCUGAACAUGUUAUGCCUACAAAAAGAAAGAUGCUCAAAGGAACUGACUGACUCAACAGAAGAAGUGUCUCAGAAAUGGCCCCCGUUAGCGUCCUGCUGUCCUGACAUCACCUAAUGUCUUCAAAAAGAUACUUUUUAUCCUUAGAGACCUCCUAACUGUACCAAUUCCUCCAAGUCACAGGUCCUAUCUAUCUCAGAGCAGUUGUCAGUGAUCUCCAUGGCUUCAAGGGUUUACAGAGAGAAGACAUAAACUUCACUUCUCCUUAAUGAAUUGCAUAGCAUAAAAAGGCCAUGUAUGGGACCAUUUGACUGUUAAUUCAUGAACCACCAUCAUAAAGUGAUAG